rnacentral:rRNA from 1 species
AUUGAACGCGGGCGGCAUGCCUUACACAUGCAAGUCGAACGGUAACGCGGGGCAACCUGGCGACGAGUGGCGAACGGGUGAGUAAUGCAUCGGAACGUGCCCAGUAGUGGGGGAUAGCCCGGCGAAAGCCGGAUUAAUACCGCAUACGACCUACGGGUGAAAGCGGGGGACCGCAAGGCCUCGCGCUAUGGGAGCGGCCGAUGUCAGAUUAGGUUGUUGGUGAGGUAAAGGCUCACCAAGCCGACGAUCUGUAGCUGGUCUGAGAGGACGACCAGCCACACUGGGACUGAGACACGGCCCAGACUCCUACGGGAGGCAGCAGUGGGGAAUUUUGGACAAUGGGCGCAAGCCUGAUCCAGCCAUGCCGCGUGCGGGAAGAAGGCCUUCGGGUUGUAAACCGCUUUUGUCGGGGAAGAAAUCUUCUGGGCUAAUACCCCGGGAGGAUGACGGUACCCGAAGAAUAAGCACCGGCUAACUACGUGCCAGCCGCCGCCGUAACAC